GCCUAACCAUAACACAACAAUAAAUCACUAAUUGUUCGCCAAAUAACUACGAGUAAAAACUUAAAAUUUAAAAGACUUGACGGUACCCCACAACAGCCUAGAGGAGCCUGUUCAAUAACCGAUACUCCACGAUUAAUCCAACCCCCCCUAGCCUAACAGUCUAUAUACCGCCGUCGCCAGCCUACCUUAUGAAAGGAACAAAGUAAGCCAAAUAGUCCCACACUAACACGACAGGUCGAGGUGUAACUCAUGAGGGGGCCCAGAAUGGGCUACAUUUUCUAACUUAGACAAUACGAAUAAACCAUGAAACAGAAACUGAAGGCGGAUUUAGCAGUAUACUACGAACAAAAUACCUAGUUGAAGUUAACGCAAUGGGGUGCGUACACACCGCCCGUCAUCCCUGCCAACUAAAAUAAAACAUACAUAAAUACCAACACAACCCCAAAACAGGGCAAGUCGUAACACGGUAAGCGUACUGGAAAGUGCGCUUAGAAA
rnacentral:rRNA from 1 species